rnacentral:rRNA from 1 species
GAUCAUGCGGAGGAAUCAUUG